GCCACUGCGCCUGGCCCACCUUUAUGUUUUCCAGACUCUCUGGCCUCUGUCUGGAACCUUCCUGACCUUGUGAGUCUCCCCAAGAGGCAGACUCUAGGCACCAGGCCUCACUUUCCCAGCCUCCCUUGCAGUUGCUGCAGGCUUGUGACCUGGCUCAGCCAAUCAGACACACACAUUCAGCAACCCUGACUCAGGCAGAAGACACAAAGAAGCAGAGAUGGAGUGCAUCUGCCCCAAGUGGAGGCAGCAGCAGCAGCAGGAGGGAGGUGUCGGGGCAGUGGGGCCGCAGGGCCAGUCCUCAGGUUGGUUACUCAGUUGUCCUCCCUGGUCUGUCCUCAAGGCGUGAUUUGGGCUGGGGUUCUGGCUGCCGUCCAGCCCUCCCUGGUUGCUGUGAGCCUGGCUCUCUAGCCAGCCCUAGAAGUCCGUGAGUUAGUUCUCUGUUGCUUGCAACCAAGAACCCUGACAAGAAAGAAAACUGGCUCAGAGAGGCUGAGUAACCUGCUCAAGAUGACACAGCUUGUGGGUGGCUGAGUUGGCCUUCCAACCCAGAUUCCUGUCAUGUUCCUCAAGCCGACAGGUUCAGCUUGGUUGUGACCUCUGCUAGAAGCCCUCCCUGGCCUCCCUGUGCACUGAGCUGGUGGUUCCUCCUUUGCGCCCCAGGUACAUGCUCAGAUCUGUGUACCCUACACUUUGUCCUCCAGCUUCGUGUUUGGAUGUUCACAACUCCCAUGAGAAGGGCCCCCGAGAGCUGGCACAGUGCAUGUGUUUCCUCUCCAGACUUCUACAAACCUGGCACAUAAUUGUUUGCUGAAAGAUGGCAUGUUCCUAAAACAGAGGAAGUAGAACCGAAUAAAGCGAAAUCCAACUUCCCACUCCCUGCUCUCACUUCCUCUGGGACAGGCCUUGAGCAAGAGAGACAAAAAGAACAAGAGAUGAUCUUUCCCUUUAAUGGGAUUUCAGUCUGAUCAGGGAGAUAGUAACAGAAAGACUAGACUAGACUAGUGUAUGAUUAAAUGACAUUUGCCAUCCCCAGAAGAGGGAGAGACCUGCAUGGAACAGGGUGGUCAAGGCAGGCUUCCUGGAGGAGGCAAAGACUUAGAUUUAACAGUACCAGAGCUCCAGGAUAGAUCCUCCUCUGACUGAACUCCCUAUUUCUUUCUCCCACCCCAACCUUCCCGGGUCCCCAGCUGAAGGGAUACGUGUGUGUGUGUGUGUACAUGUGCCUGCACACAUGUACACAUGUGGUUAGAAAGGGGGUAUUAGUAUCUCUCUCCUAGGAUGGAGUCUCAAGGACAGGCCCAUCAUCUCCUCAGUUUGCCCCUCUCUCUCCCACUUCACCUAGGGAAUGGAAUAAGAAUGGGAUAAGUAUAACACAAUGAGACGAAUGCAGAACCAACUAGAUGUACACCCAACAAUGUGGAUGAACCUUAAAACAGUGCUGCCUGAAGAAGGCAAGAAACAGAAUGAAAUCUGCAGCACAUCAUUCAUAUAAACUAAAAAUACAUGCACAGAGAAAGGCCACUUUUUUUUUUUUGGAGACAAAGUUUCGCUCUUGUCACUCAGGCUGGAGUGCAAUGGCACGAUCUCGGCUCACUGCAACGUCCACCUCUAGGGUUCAAGCGACUGUCCUGCCUCAGCUUCUAGAGUAGCUGGGAUUAUAGGAGCCCACCACCAUGGCCGGCUAAUUUUUGUCUUUUUAGUAGAGACGGGGUUUCACCAUGUUGCCCAGGCUGGUCUCAAACUCCUGACCUCAGGUGAUCCACGUGCCUCGGCCUCCGAAAGUGCUGGGAUUACAGGCGUGAGCCACCGCACCCAGUCAGCAACGUAUGUUUUGUAGAGACACAGACAAAGAUGUGAUGUCAAACACACUAAUGUGGUUGCCUCAUUUAUGGAUGGGGGACUGGGCUGGUGAAUGAGGAUUAAAGGAAUAAAUAAAUAAAACAAGAGAGGGCCUCUGUACAGAACGGUGAUGACAGCGUGCCGUCGAGGAGAAUGAUGAACUCAAACUUUUGCACCUGAGAGCCAAACAAAAGCUCAAAACCAAAAUCUCUCUUAGAAAUGAUGCCACUGACUUUAGGAUGGCACUCAUAUCUGUGUGAGUGGGAGAGAGAAGGGUUUGGGGCAGGGAUUUGACUGUAGCUGUAAUGUUUUAUUCCUUUAAAAAAGAUAAGAUAAUCUGAAACAAAAUGUUAAUAUCUGUUGAAUCUGGGGAGAGGCUAUGAGGGUUUCUGUUAAACCAUUUUGUGUACAUUUUAAAUACAGUCAUGCAUGAGUUAAUGAUGGGGAAUAAGUUCUUAGAGAUACGUUGUUAAGCAGUUUUGUUAUUGUGUGAACAUUAUCGAGUGUACUUACACAAACUUAGGAUGGAAUAGCUGACUAUAUAACUUAGACUAUAUGGUCUAGCCUAUUGCUUGAAGGCUGCAAACCCAUACUCCAUGUUACUGUACUGAAUAAUGAAGACAAGUGUAAUACGAUGGCAAGUAUUUGUGUAUCUAAACAUAGAAAAGGUACAGUAGAAAUGUGGUAUCGUAGUCUUAUGAGAGUACUGUUGUAUAUGCAAUGCUUUGUUGACUGAAACAUCAUUAUGUGGUUCAUGACUGUAUAUCAUAAUUUUAAAAAAUAUUUUAAGAGGUUGCCAAUCAAGACACUACAAACUAAUUUUGUGGCUUUUGUCAAAAUUCAUUUCUUUCUUUCUUUUUUUUUUUUUUGUUUUGAGACAGGGAUCACUCAAGCAAUCCUUCUGCCUUA
rnacentral:lncRNA from 1 species